CAUGAAAUGGACAGUUACAUUCCUGGGUCUCAAGGCUGGCCCCAUUGCACAAUGGCCUUGCACUGUUCUCCCAAACUUUGUUUUCAGCAGUGACAUCAUAUGGAAGCACCUGCAGCAGUGCCCCUGCCAGGCGGCAUUUUCUAGCCUCUCCUCCUUGGGGAGGAGCACCCAGGAUUCUCCCUUUGGACCAGGCACUGUAAAAUGGUGACAAACACCCAAACUAGCAAGAAACUAAAAACAACAAUCACAACACAAGCAGGAACAGGUCCUUAAAUGAGCUAUCCAGACUUGCCAACUUCUCUGAGACAAAAUCAACCUUUGUACUAGCUUUACAUCUGGUUUUGUUCUCCAAAUACCAAUAGAGAGGCCAGCAAACAAAAACAAAAGACUUGCAGUCAUCAGCAAAAAGAGCCAUGAAACCCCACCGACCUCACCGAACCCCACCUUGUUACUCUUGGAAUGCUCCAUUAAUCAAAUUCUGAGGAAUCUCCCUUAACCUAAACAAGUUAAACCCAAGGACACCAUCUUUGAAAGAAGGACAACAAAAACCUGAACUUGACAAUUACUCCUUGAAUAUUUAGAGAUCCUCAACUUUUAAGAGCUUAAAAGAGUUUACAGUUGUGAGAAAGUGGGCAAUAAAAUGUAAAAAUCAACUAAGAGAAACUUUAAUUCUCAAAACACCUUUUUCAUCUGAUUCAAAACAAAUGGAGUCUGUUUUUCAAAAUCUAUUUCUUUCAAGGAUGCAUUAUUUACCUUAAGAAUCUUACAGUCACAGUAUCCCUCCCUCAUUUCUGAAGAUAUUCCAACUCAAAGGACAUGAGGUUCAUUGGGAAGAAGGAAAAAAAAAAAAAAAGGAGAGCCAUGUGCUCACAAACUUUUCAGUUGGAAAUCAUAAAGCCAGAUUGGGUGAAUUUAUUGAGGGCAAAACAAAAUGCGAAAUUUACUGAUGCAAAUUUUAAAAAGAAGAAUAAGAGAUGCAGAACAAAAAGAGGCAAGUUAACGAAGCGAAAGUAAAAGAUUCCCUACUAAGGAUGCUCUUGCUUAGCCAACAAGGUGUAUGAAUGACCCCCAUUCCAUGUGACUUGUCUAAGGGAGCAAGACGACAGACAAGAAAGGGUCUUGAUGCGAGUGCGGCAAAAGCAAGGGGACUGUUCCACAAAUGGCAGAAAGGUCUGAACAAUCCAGACACUGGCCAAGUUUUCAAGGUUCUGACCCACAAACAGAAACUCUUCCCUGAGUGUCCCACACUGCGAUGGCAGGGAGGAAUUUCAGUCAAGGAAGGAGUGUUCUUCAUCAUCGAUCUGGUUUUGUUGUUAGGGAGUCAGAAUUUGGUGAGAAAAUUAUCAAUCAUUUCACCCAGUAGUCUUCUAUUUUUAGGAAUUUCUACCAAAGUUUUAUUUAACCCAAUAUUUAUGGGUAAAGUUGGUGAACCGUGGCCAUGGAGUAACUAAGCAGUUAAACCUUUGGUGCCUACACACAGAGCAGUUUCCUAUAAAUAGUGCCAGCAAGGAAGUAUCAAGAGUAUGUAACGUUGAGUAGCAAGAAACCCGUAAAAUUAUUCUCUCUCCCAUAAAACUAGAGAAGACAUAAAACCUUCCCCAGCCUAGAAGCACAGUGCUGAUUUGCAGAAGAACAACACAGAGAGUUAUUCUGGUGUGGAAAAAUAGUAGCAACAGCAGAAGAAAGCACAAAUUACAGGAAAUCAAAUCUUUUAUUUUCCAAAAGAAAAAUGUUGGUGAUGCAAGUUUAAUAGAGGUAUGCUAUUAAUAUUAUCUAAUAAUUUACCAAUAGAUAAAGUUGUUCAAACAGUUGAUGUAAACUGUGGCCUAGGCUAUGCCCAUUUUUGAGGACUCUAGUAUACCAAAAAAAUGAAGAAAUGAUAAAAAUAUGAACUACGUAAAUGGUGGUAUAUUUUAAAUGAUCUAUCUUAUUAGUCUCAGUGAUGAUAUUAUUAAUCCAUUUGCUUAUUGUUCAUAGCAUUAUAUUCCAGGACAAAUGCCACUCCCUCACUUUUCACUCUGUGCCCCUUAAUCCAACCUAUAACAAACUUUGACAUAGCGCUAUAAUUUUUACAUUAAAAAAUUAGGGCCUUUGAUACAUUUGAAGAAAUAAAAAAUAGAUAAUCAUAUUACUAAUGAAAGCCAAAAUGAAUGUCUGUCUCUUAAGUUGUUAGACAUACUUGUCAUUAACCCAAAAUCAAUUGAGUAGGAGCUGAGUAUAGAAAAAAAGAAAAAAAAAAAAA